AUUGAACGCUGGCGGCAUGCUUUACACAUGCAAGUCGAACGGUAACAGGUUAAGCUGACGCGUGGCGAACGGGUGAGUAAUGCAUCGGAACGUGCCCGAUCGUUGGGGAUAACGCAGCGAAAGCUGCGCUAAUACCGCAUACGAUCUGAGGAGGAAAGCGGGUGACCGUAAGGCCUCGCGCGAUCGGAGCGGCCGAUGUCAGAUUAGGUAGUUGGCGGGGUAAAGGCUCACCAAGCCGACGAUCUGUAGCUGGUCUGAGAGGACGACCAGCCACACUGGGACUGAGACACGGCCCAGACUCCUACGGGAGGCAGCAGUGGGGAAUUUUGGACAAUGGGCGCAAGCCUGAUCCAGCAAUGCCGCGUGCAGGAAGAAGGCCUUCGGGUUGUAAACUGCUUUUGUACGGAGCGAAAAGGCUCUCUCUAAUACAGGGGGCUCGUGACGGUACCGAAAGAAUAAGCACCGGCUAACUACGUGCCAGCCGCCGCAGUAA
rnacentral:rRNA from 1 species